GCCCAGUCCUGGAUCGUGUUAUUUUGAUAAGAGUUAGUUUAACUAAGACAUGAGCCGACCACCCCUAAACAACGAAUAUUAAAUCGCAACUACAAAGGGGAGGAUGUGGUGUGGUGUGAAGAUAGCCACAGAGACAGAGUACAGAGUAUAUGUACAGGAAAAACGAGAGGAUGAAGACAAAACCGUUAAGAAGGACACCGCACUGGAAAAAAGGAAAGGGCGAUAGCAGCACAGAACAAAGGGAAGACGUUGAAAGGGGCAACGGCAGAAAUAUCUGACGCGGAGGUCUGCCAGGCUAAAGAAGUGCUCAAAUUGAUGUGUGGAAAAUAAUUUACACGCAAGGGCGAUUUGAUGUGUGGAAAAUAAUUUACACGCAAGACGAUUAGAGUCCAAAGUUGUAGAUUAGAUAAUAUCACAGUAUUCAACAUGAAAAAUGUUAAUAUAUCUCCUUUACGGUGAUUGAUUUUUACUUACUGUUUUUAUAUAUAUUGUUAUUACAAUGAGAUCAGUACUUCUUAUAUUUGAACAUAUAUUUGUAUAUUAUUUUGCUGUGAUCCCAAGUAAACUGAUAUGUAAUAAUUCAGGCCCAGUCUUGAAAGUCCAAUUGGGGAGGGGAAUGACCACAGUACGCGGGAAGCUAAAUCAUCAAUACACAAAUUACAGUGCAUUAUUAUCUCACUGAUAGUAGGCAUUUUAAAAAUAUCCUGAAAAUCACGUAUCACCGGGUAUAAUGUCUUCGUUUCACGAAGGGCGGAGAAUAAACAAUUGCAUUCACAAGUCGCGUGAAUGGGGUGCUUCACGAAUCACGCUAAAUAACAUGAACGUUUCACACACUUCAAGAAAUAAUUAGCUGUAUUUUCUAAAGAUUUUUUCUGAAAGUAAAUUUUUCUCUUAGAAUUUGAGCAGCAUUUAUUUGAUUUUGAUUAAAUACUUUAAGUUAGUCGGAUAUUUCAGGUACAUAAUGUGUUGCGUUUCUCUUCUUUUUAAUUUUCCCGUAUUUUUAAUGUUAUUUUAUUUCUUUAGCCUACGCAUUUUGUAGGGGUUUUGGUGACAAUACUUCAUCUUUCCUUGGAAGCUAGGCUUCAUCGCCUUACUCAAUGUGAACAAAAAUACCUAAUGAGUGUAAUUCUUAAAACGGGGUCGGGCAAUUAGGGCACACAUAAUUGGCAUGUUAUUUAACGGGUGGCCACUCUCUGCAAAUACAUUAAGUCGAUGGAUAAGUAGUAGUCGUUUUCGUUUUCCUCAUAUGUUUACCAGAUGUCAGAUAAAUAAUGGAAAAAGCCUCACUAUUUAUGAAUCUGUGACGUUCCUAUAAUUGUACUUUUGCUUAGAUUUUGUUCUGGAAAGUCGUAUUUAAAUGUGGUUCGUAUUUAUUUGCGUAAUUAUUUUACUAGGUAAAUUUUUUAAUGAUAUUCGCUAUUGUUUAGGGUGUGCGUAUAAUGAGUGUACAAAAUAAUACAUUAGUGUAAGAUUACUUUCCACUUGUGAAAUAUAAUAGCCGUGUUGCGCUUUAUAAACAUAAUCCCCACUGCAUUGUAAUGGUUAUUGUUGUUUUUUGCAAUAAAAUACUAUAAAUGAAAAUUCACAAGCCUUCCUCUCAUUAAAUGAAAUGCUACAUGAAUUUGAAGCAUUAUCAGUGCUAUAAGUAAUUGAAAUAACUAUAAUCGUCCAUAUUUGAUUAGAUAAGGGUUGUGAAGACUUACCUAAAAUUGCCUUUAUUUGAUCGGAAAAGGGUUAUAAAGACGUGUCAAAAAUCGCCUAUAUUUGAUCGGAAAGGAGUUGUAAAGAGGUUGUUUUUAGACGCCUAUACUUGAUCGGAAAGACGUAGUAAUAGUGCAACUACAAUUUUAAGCUUAGGCAUAAAAGGGUAGUAAACCCGUAGACCCUGACCUUUCCGGUAGAGCUUUACACCGUUGAAAAGGCUUGUAAAGAGAAUAUUCAGACCCAUUUCCUGAAGAGUAAAAGAGCUGAAAAUUGACUUUUUGUGCUGUGGU